CCUACGGGUGGCUGCAGUGAGGAAUAUUGGUCAAUGGGCGCAAGCCUGAACCAGCCAAGUAGCGUGAAGGAUGACUGCUCUAUGGGUUGUAAACUUCUUUUAUAAAGGAAUAAAGUGAUGCACGUGUGCCUUUUUGCAUGUACUCUAUGAAUAAGGAUCGGCUAACUCCGUGCCAGCAGCCGCGGUAAUACGGAGGAUCCGAGCGUUAUCCGGAUUUAUUGGGUUUAAAGGGUGCGUAGAUGGGUUGUUAAGUCAGUGGUGAAAGUUUGCGGCUCAACCGUAAAAUUGCAAUUGAUACUGGCAGUCUUGAGUACGGUUGAGGUAGGCGGAAUUCGUGGUGUAGCGGUGAAAUGCAUAGAUAUCACGAAGAACUCCGAUUGCGAAGGCAGCUUACUAAGCUACAACUGACAUUGAUGCUCGAAAGUGUGGGUAUCAAACAGGAUUAGAUACCCGAGUAGUC
rnacentral:rRNA from 1 species